CAGCCGCCGCGGUAAUACCGGCGGCCCGAGUGGCGGUCACUAUUAUUGGGCUUAAAGCGUCCGUAGCCGGGUUGGGAAGUCCUCCGGGAAAUCUGGCCGCUUAACGGUCAGAAAGCCGGAGGAUACUCCCAGCCUAGGGAGCGGGGGAGGCCGAGGGGAUUCCCGGGGUAGGGGGGAAAUCCUAUAAUCCCGGGAGGACCACCUGUGGCGAAGGCGCUCGGCUGGAACGCGUCCGACGGUGAGGGACGAAGGCCAGGGGAGCAAACCGGAUUAGAUACCCGGGUAGUCCUGGCUGUAAACGAUGCGGACUUUGUGUCGGACAAGCUAUGAGCUUGUCCGGUGCCGGAGGGAAACCGUUAAGUCCGCCGCCUGGGGAGUACGGCCGCAAGGCUGAAACUUAAAGGAAUUGGCGGG
rnacentral:rRNA from 1 species